CAGUCGCCGCGGUAAUACAGAGGGUGCGAGCGUUAAUCGGAUUUACUGGGCGUAAAGCGUGCGUAGGCGGCUUUUUAAGUCGGAUGUGAAAUCCCUGAGCUUAACUUGGGAAUUGCAUUCGAUACUGGUUAGCUAGAGUGUGGGAGAGGAUGGUAGAAUUCCAGGUGUAGCGGUGAAAUGCGUAGAGAUCUGGAGGAAUACCGAUGGCGAAGGCAGCCAUCUGGCCUAACACUGACGCUGAGGUACGAAAGCAUGGGGAGCAAACAGGAUUAGAUACCCGCGUAGUCCCUGUCUCUUAUAA
rnacentral:rRNA from 1 species